rnacentral:lncRNA from 1 species
CCCAAAAUGUCCAAGACAGGGCUGUGGCUUCCAAGUAACCUUUCAAACACAUCUAUCCCCCAAACAGAUGUUUGCUCUUUCUAUUGUUCCAGACGCCCUUUGGAGCUUAUUUUAGGAAUUCACCAGUAUUUUCUCUGGCUAGUAGCCUGCACACCUGAGAUGAGAAGCUGGACUUCACGAAUUCCAAGUUCCAGACUGAAGGACGACGGUGGAGUUCUUGCAAGCUGGCGGUCUCUUCAGGUUGGGGAGCAACCUCCUUCGGGUGUCCCCUGGACUGUAAAAGGCCUGCCCCGCGGAAGGAGCCCUCUGAGAAAUCCCUUCGUUAAUAUUUAAAUACUCACUAAGUAGCGAAAGUGAGAAAUGCACUUACCGUCCUCCGGAGUCGCCCUGAACGGAUCGUGCCCGCAGCGCACAGGUCGACAGUCCUGCCCUUGCCGGGCGACCGCGCCUGGCCGUAGCCAGCGCAGUGCUAACGUGUCCACGGCCGCAGAGGCUCUUGGCCGAGAGUGCCGGGUUCGCAAUGCUUGCCUCCUUCCUGCGCCGAAACCUCGGACAGAGCGGUGCGGUUCCCGCAACUCUUGGGGGUGGAACGGCCCGGCCGCAAACACACGGCCAGGCCCCGCGCCGCUCCUUCCUCCGGCAUCCUGGUAUUCAGCGAGCGGCCGCACGAAGAGUGGUCCGAACGACCUGGUCACCGCGUCCGCGACCGGCGCCGCCACCGGGGACCUUUGUCCCAGACGAAAACGAAAGCGCGCCGGCCCGGGAGCGCCCACGCCCUACCGCCGAGGGCCCGGCCGGCGCGCCCCGCGACUUUCUCCAAGUUCACGUGCAUCCCGGGGCGGCCCGGCGGGCGCAGCGGACCCGGACUCGCAGAGCCUGG